AGUUAAUAAGCUUUAAGCAUAAUAUCUUGAAAAUAUUAAAAAGAAUUCAAAUUUCUAUUAACUU
rnacentral:tRNA from 1 species